AGGAAUCAAGAAACUUUAAUGCUUUAGAAGCUAUAUAUGAACAUUUUGCUUAGCCAAGUUGUAAUACUCAAUUAAAUGAAUUACUGGUUGAUACGAACCACUAUCUAUAUCAAGACUCUGUGAAACGUGUUAGUCUUGUUGUUAUAAAAAUUGUGCAGCAGUAUUUAAUAAUUGUGGUGUAAUCGUUAACAUUUUGGAAAAGGAAAUUGAUGAAGGUGCGAAUAGAGACACACCUCAAGCUAUAGGUAAAAUUGUAUAAUUAGCUUAAGUUAUUUAAUUUAAUUAUCAUAUUUUAUAUGCCAUAGUUAAUUUUUGUACUCAGAAACUAUACUAGUAAAAUAUUUGUGAUCACUACUGAGUAUUAAAUUGUAGUUAAUGGUAGGUAUAUGUUAAUUAUUUUCUUAACAAUUCACUUUGUAAAAGAUGGUAGUUUUUAAAUAAUUUUUCAUCAGAAUGAAUAACUUCUAGAUUUACAAGUUUUUGUUGAGUUGCUCUUAUUUUCUUUUUUUUUUCUUUUGUAGGUUUUUUAAGCG